rnacentral:lncRNA from 1 species
AAGAAAUGCUGUGAAAUACAACAGUUGACUGGAUCUAAUCUGGACUGUGAUCCCCUAUACCAGGAAGCCAAAUUAUUGUGCUUGCCUGUCCUUGGAAGCAGUGGUAGAUCUUUUGGCCCACGAGCUGCUUCAUAUUCCACCAGAGUCUUUUGCUCUAGUAAAAUUAUCUUCAAUGUAAACUUCUUAAAAAUGGGAAUAUGUGGGAAGUAGCACUCUGGAGAGCUGUAUACUGUCAUACUUAAUCUAAUGGUUCUAAGAAUUUUUUGAGAAGCUGGAGAGGUCAACGUAGUUGAAAGUGCUCUUACCACUGGUGAGUAACAUACUCAUAGCAAGUUUGAAUGCAGUUGUUUGAAUGUUCUCAAUGAUGUAAAUAUCAAGUCCUUUCCCUUCUUGUUAAAUCCAACAAAUGAUUGGGAAAUUUCCUAAAACCCUUAGAUCUGUGUAAACAAUAAUCAAGUGCCCUCUUUGUUUCUACUGUGUGUAGAGUAUGGGAUUUUAGUCGUUCAAUUUAAAUGAAAAUUGGAAACCACUGUAGAAGGAACUUUGGUUGAUUUGGUUGAUGACGUACAUAGCUUUCUUAUCCUUCUGGUAUGAUGUAGUUGCAGAUCAUGUGCAACAUGUUUAGCUCUGUUACAUAAGAUUUUCCAAAACAAAUGAAAGUGUAGUAGUGCAACUCUACACAAUCACAGUGGUGAUGCUGUAAAAUAGUUGAACUAGUUCAAACAGCCUAGUAAGUAAUAGUAUGUUGGAUUUUGGCCCUCUGCUUGCACACAAGGCAUGAAAUUAUUUUUGACGGAAAAAUGCCUACAUGGAAUUUGAGGAGAUACAGAGUACUGAUAUCAUUGUAUUGACCAGUGUGGUAGUCUGUGUAUUAAUUUCAAUAUGCAAACAGCGAGUGCUUCACAGAUAAGCUGCCUGCUAAGCCAUGUGGGCAGAGCUUAAA